GACGAACGCUGGCGGCGUGCUUAACACAUGCAAGUCGAACGGAAAGGCCUGCUUUCCCUUGUGGAUUGCGGGUACUCGAGUGGCGAACGGGUGAGUAACACGUGAGUGAUCUGCCCCCAACUUGGGUAUAAGCCUGGGAAACUGGGUCUAAUUCCCGAUAGGACUGCAGGGUGGUGCCUGUGGUGGAAAACGAUUUUCUAGUGGUUGGGGAUGAGCUCGCGGCCUAUCAGCUUGUUGGUGGGGUAAUGGCCUACCGAGGCGGCGACGGGUAGCCGGCCUGAGAGGGUGGACGGCCACAUUGGGACUGAGAUACGGCCCAGACUCCUACGGGAGGCAGCAGUGGGGAAUAUUGCACAAUGGGCGGAAGCCUGAUGCAGCGACGCCGCGGGGGGGAUGACGGCCUUCGGGUUGUAAACUCCUUUCGACCGCGAGGAAGCCACCUGGUUGGAAGGGUGGUGACGGUAGUGGUAGAAGAAGCACCGGCUAACUACGUG
rnacentral:rRNA from 1 species